CAGACUAAUAAAGGUCUGUUUUACUUUCCAACUUGUCCGGUGUGUUCCUUCCCGGGCGAUCGUCGCUGCAGUCAGCUCCUUGGAGCGUUUGAUUUUUCCUCAAAUGUCUGGAUAUGGUAAUCCUUGUUAUAGAGUGACAGCUUAGCAGAAUUGUGCUGUGCAUUUAUGUGGAAAGUCAAAUUUGUAAGGUGGCUGUUUAACAGUUAAACCUCUGCCUAAGUCAUCUGAUUACAUCACCUCACUAAUAUUCAGUGGAGAAAAAUCUACGUCAUUUCAAAAGUCUUCCCAACUCUAUAAUGUUGGGGUACUAAUUUAUGGUGCUCUUGAGCCACCUUUUAAGGUUUAAAUGCAGCAAUUCUUGGCUGAGAGAGCUAUUUUGUACUCAGCACUACUGCUUCAUAGCUGUGCACCCUAGUUUCCUCAUGUGAUAGAUGAAAGCUAUUGUCAGGUUUCAGAGAGGACACAUAUUGAAUCCAACACACAGUUGGUGCCCAAUCAAUUCAGGUACUUGAAUUGUGAAAGAAGAAACACAUGAAUCUUCAAACUUAUCCUUAAGCUUCACUAAGGAUUAGCAAAGUAGACACAUGUUAAGCAAGCAUUUGUCUUUGGAAGGAGCCUGAGUUAUCAGUACAGCUUCCAACACUGAGUACUAAAUACAUACAUAAACAAAUCAAUUCAGAGAAGACCAUGUUGUUUUGUGAUCUGUUGUGCUUGGCUCAUUGCUCAGAACAUUCACACCUGCAGCCCUGAUCGACCAUGUAUAAUGUGUGAGUACCUCGAGCUGCCAUGCUGUGAGGAAGCCAAGAGAGAUGGGGAAGUCAUAUGCAGCUUUCAAGUCCUAAUCUUCAAGUCAUCACAAACCAGAAGCCAGACACUUGAGUGGAAGAGUCUUUAGAUGAUUCCAGCUUCCAAUAUCUGAAAUUCCAGUCAUCAUAGAGCAGGUACCAG
ensembl:lncRNA